GAUGAACGCUGGCGGCGUGCCUAAUACAUGCAAGUCGAGCGAACAGACGAGGAGCUUGCUCCUCUGACGUUAGCGGCGGACGGGUGAGUAACACGUGGAUAACCUACCUAUAAGACUGGGAUAACUUCGGGAAACCGGAGCUAAUACCGGAUAACAUGUUGAACCGCAUGGUUCAACAGUGAAAGACGGUCUUGCUGUCACUUAUAGAUGGAUCCGCGCCGCAUUAGCUAGUUGGUAAGGUAACGGCUUACCAAGGCAACGAUGCGUAGCCGACCUGAGAGGGGGAUCGGCAAAACGGGACCUGAGAACCGUUCCAGACUCCAAGGGGGGGCAGAAGGGGGAAAUUUUCCGAAAGGGGCGAAAGCCGGACGGGGCAACGCCGGGGGGGGAAAAAAGGUUUUCGGAUUGAAAAACCUUUUUAUUGGGAAAAAAAAAAUGUGUAAAAAACUAUGCCGGUUUGAACGGACCCAAAUAAAAAAGCCCCGGUAAACUAGGG
rnacentral:rRNA from 1 species